rnacentral:lncRNA from 1 species
ACGUGACCAAUGAAAGAUUUUUAGUGGAUGCUGUGGUCCCACUGAUAUCGUGCACCUCACCUAACAGUUAUUGGUGAUAUGCACACCGAUGUAUGGUAACUCUUUACCCAGAUACUUCUUUAAGCAUAUUGUAAUGACUUGGUCUCUAAGUCAUCAGAGCUCAGAUAACACAUAUUACCCCAUUCCUUAGUUAAGUCUGACCCACCAUUCAGAAGCAAGUGUGAAGCCAUCAUUGGACCCC